ACGGAAGGCAGCAGUGGGGAAUAUUGGACAAUGGGGGAAACCCUGAUCCAGCGACGCCGCGUGAGUGAAGAAGUAUUUCGGUAUGUAAAGCUCUAUCAGCAAGGAAGAAAAUGACGGUACUUGACUAAGAAGCUCCGGCUAAAUACGUGCCAGCAGCCGCGGUAAUACGUAUGGAGCAAGCGUUAUCCGGAUUUACUGGGUGUAAAGGGAGCGUAGACGGCAAAGCAAGUCCGAAGUGAAAUCCCGGGGCGCAACCCCGGAACUGCUUUGGAAACUGUUUAGCUAGAGUGCAGGAGAGGUAAGCGGAAUUCCUAGUGUAGCGGUGAAAUGCGUAGAUAUUAGGAGGAACACCAGUGGCGAAGGCGGCUUACUGGACUGUAACUGACGUUGAGGCUCGAAAGCGUGGGGAGCAAACAGGAUUAGAUACCCUGGUA
rnacentral:rRNA from 1 species